rnacentral:rRNA from 1 species
UACGUAGGGCGCAAGCGUUGUCCGGAUUUAUUGGGCGUAAAGAGCUCGUAGGCGGUCUGUCGCGUCGGCUGUGAAACCCCGAGGCUCAACCUCGGGCCUGCAGUCGAUACGGGCAGACUAGAGUGUGGUAGGGGAGACUGGAAUUCCUGGUGUAGCGGUGAAAUGCGCAGAUAUCAGGAGGAACACCGGUGGCGAGGGCGGGUCUCUGGGCCAAAACUGACGCUGAGGAGCGAAAGCGUGGGGAGCGAACAGG